rnacentral:rRNA from 1 species
UGGGGAAUAUUGGACAAUGGGCGCAAGCCUGAUCCAGCCAUGCCGCGUGUGUGAAGAAGGCCUUUUGGUUGUAAAGCACUUUAAGCGAGGAGGAGGCUACUUGGAUUAAUACUCUAGGAUAGUGGACGUUACUCGCAGAAUAAGCACCGGCUAACUCUGUGCCAGCAGCCGCGGUAAUACAGAGGGUGCGAGCGUUAAUCGGAUUUACUGGGCGUAAAGCGUGCGUAGGCGGCUUCUUAAGUCGGAUGUGAAAUCCCUGAGCUUAACUUAGGAAUUGCAUUCGAUACUGGGAAGCUAGAGUAUGGGAGAGGAUGGUAGAAUUCCAGGUGUAGCGGUGAAAUGCGUAGAGAUCUGGAGGAAUACCGAGGGCGAAGGCAGCCAUCUGGCCUAAUACUGACGCUGAGGUACGAAAGCAUGGGGAGCAAACAGG